ACCUGAAAGAAAAUCUCACCAAGUUUUGAUGUAAAUCAGCGGACUUUAAAUUCGUAAAUUGGGUCUAAAAAACGUAAAUCGAUUCAAUCUCCAUCUUCAAAACCAAAAUCUAUUAAUGCCUGAAUCCCACAUCAUCGAUAUUUGUUCUUGAAGAAUUAGCUGAAACUGUGUGGAAGAGAGAAGAAAUCACCAACAACAAUUGCAAAAAAAAUGUUUAGGAAGAACAAUUACUGAUAGAAUCGAUAUUUUCUCUUCGUCUCCAUUAUCGAUUAGGUUUUCUACUACUCCAUCUUUGAGUCAUCAUUUUAAUGGAAAUGAUUGUCGACAGAUUUGUGAGAUGACAUAUAAAGUAAGGAAAUUAGAGAAACAACCUUCAAGGAAUUGAGAUUUAGUUGAUGAAGCUACACACAAUAAUUAGCGUCAUUCUGAGGAAGGCAAGUGACAUGAUGAUGAUAAGUUCGAUUUUAUGGAGCUCCCUGUAUCAACACCAUAUCUUUCAGCAAUACUCAAAUAGACCUUAAUCUCGUACUCAAAUUUGAAGGGUAAUUCGAUAUAAGCUCUCUAGUGAUACCAUCGAGUAUGGCAAUGCUAGUUCCUCUACAUAAGUGAUGGAGAAGUGGGUCUAUGUUGAUUAUGUAAGAGCUCACACUCAUGAUGUCAGAGCCUUGACGAUAACAGUUCCUAGAGACAGUAAUG